rnacentral:tRNA from 1 species
UAAUAAGAAGCAAAAAAUUGCAUUUAGUUUCGACCUAAAAGUUUGGUAUUUUACCCUUAUUAU